rnacentral:rRNA from 1 species
UACGGGGGGGGCAAGCGUUGUUCGGAAUUACUGGGCGUAAAGGGCUCGUAGGCGGCCAACUAAGUCAGACGUGAAAUCCCUCGGCUUAACCGGGGAACUGCGUCUGAUACUGGAUGGCUCGAGGUUGGGAGAGGGAUGCGGAAUUCCAGGUGUAGCGGUGAAAUGCGUAGAUAUCUGGAGGAACACCGGUGGCGAAGGCGGCAUCCUGGACCAAUUCUGACGCUGAGGAGCGAAAGCCAGGGGAGCAAACGGG